UAUUGAUUUUCUUUUCCUGGGAUUUUAUUUUUGGGUGUGAAUUUACAUGUGACCUUCAUGUUGAGAGGAAGGACGCCAACCUUCAUUGAGUGCCUAGUCUAUGCCUGGUGUUUUGCAUAUGUUAUUGGAGUCAAUCUUCACAGUAAGCCUACCCUGCACUCGAUGGAUCAGCUGACACCACCCAGACCUGUAAUCUGGCCCAACCAGAUCUGCCAUCGCACCCAGGAAAAGAAGACAUCAAGAAAGCCUAACUUUGAUCCGCUGUGAAUCCAUCUCCAGCCUGAGCAAUCAAAUCCGCACUCCCGGCUUCCCAAGCCCCUACCUGACAAAUUAUCUUUAAAAACUCUGAUUCCUGAAUGCUCAGGGAGGCUGAUUUAAGUAGUAAUAAAACUCUGGUCUCCU